CCAUUUGUGGUUCAGGAGGCAGACACCCUCACCACAUUCAAGAGUAGGCUUAAGACAUUCCUCUUUGAUAAAGCUUAUAGUUAGGGCUGGAUCAGGUGAGUCCUGAACCAUCCCUUAGUUAUGCUGCUAUAGGCCUAGACUAUCGGGGGAUUUCCCAUGGUGCACUGAGCUCCUCCCUUCCUCUCUCUUUCUGCACUCAUUCAUGUCCCAUUAAUGCAUGUUACUAACUUCACUUCUUCCCCGGAGUUCUUGUGCUUUCUCAUCUCGCAGGUUCUUGUCGAUCCUGGUGGAGCCUCCUGCCAUGGUCCUGCUAGAUUGCCAUUGCCAAUACUGUUGUUGCUGUGCACCUGUCUGUCUGUCUCUCGCUCUCUCUCUCUCUGCCUCUCUCUCUCUCUCUCUCUCUCACCCCAACUGGUCGAGACAGACGACCACCCACCUAGAGCCGGAGGAUCUGUCCUAGGUUUCUGCCUUUUAACAGGCAGUUUUUCCUUGCCCUUGUCGCCAAGUGCUUGCUCAUGGUGGUACUGUUGGGUCUCUGUAAUUAAUUUUAAAGAGUUCGGUCUAGACCUGCUCUAUUUGAAAAGUGUCCUGAGAUAACUUCUGUUAUGAAUUGGCGCUAUACAAAUAAAAUUGAA